CAGCAGAGAAACAGCUUCAUCGUCCUCCUCACUCUCUCUCACCUUGCGAACUCAACCUUAGCUAGCAAUGGUAAUCUCACGCACUCGAAACUCAUCCUUCUUAUGACAUCAACAAAACCCUCUCACGCUCUCAACGAACCCCUCUCAAUCACUCUCAGCUCUCACAAUAUUUCCAACAGCAAGCACAUGAGAAAGAUAAAAAAGAAAGAAAAAGAAGUACUCACAAAGCGUCACGGCGGCGAUGGUGAAGGACGCGAAGAAGCUGGCCUCCAGGGUUUCCAAUGGGGUCUUUGCUGUUCAAAAGGAGUGUUUCUGCAAAGCACUUUGGAUGCUCAGACACAUAAUCACCCUAUCCAUGUUAGAUUCAAGAAAAGUGAAAAUUGGUUACAAGGAGGUUGUGGAUGUUGGUAACAUAUUGUAGUGACAACUUGUGUUUUGUCAUGACUUUAACUUGUUUGUGCAUGAACUGCUGCCAGGGUCUUGAAUGGAACAUACACAUCUCUGUCAUGGUCUGCUUCAUGAAGUAGCAGGAUAUGGUCUUGAUUUGGACUUGUCGAUGCAGAUUGUUGGUUGUUGCUAUAGCAGUUGAUGGUUGAUGCAGGUUCAAUGACUGGGCUGGUUCAACAUAUCUGCUUCUGCCUUCAUUGGGACUUAAUGCAGGAUGGUAUUUUUGCUUCCUGAUUGUACAUCCUUGGAUCCUUCAGGAAGGCCCAUCUUCUCUACCAAAACCUUCAAAGCUGCUUCAGUAGGCAUUCCAUGGGCAACAAACUUAUGCUCUGACUGUGACACUCCGGCAUCAUUACAAACAGCAGCAAUUUUCGCUAUCAUCUGAAGAUUAGCAUCCAAUCGACCAGCUGGCAAAAUUCUCUAUUUGACCAUCAGAUGGAUUAUACGUAGUUCCUUCCACCUUAGAGGCUCGCAGGGUAUCUACAUUAGGGCCACUAGCUACUAGUUUUGAAACAGCCAUCCGGUUUGUUGUCAAUGUACCAGUUUUUAUCAGAGCAAAUCACAGUUGUACAACCCAGAGUUUCGACACUAGGUAGUUUCCGAACCAGGGCAUUCUUCUGGGUCAUUUUGCAAGUACCAAGUGCAAGGCAAGUCGUGAUGACAGCGGGCAAUCCCUCCGGAAUAGCAGCCACAGCCAAUGCCACAGCAAUCUCAAAGUAAUACGUACACUUCUCAAAUGAAAACUUGAAGUUCCACUUUGAGCAAUAGUUCCAAGACAGUCAACUAGUUCUUGCUUAGUCAUACCAAUGCCUGUAUCAGUGAUAGUGAUGAUCCCCAUUAUCCUUAUCAGCUUGAAUUCGGAUAUCAAAAUCAAUUGCAUCCUUCAUCAGGUCAAGCUCUGUAACACUAAAAAAUCGCAGCUUAUCCAAGGCAUCACUUGCAUUACUGAUAAGUUCCCUGAGAAACACUUCCUUGUUACUGUAUAAACUGUUAACAAUAAGGUCCAUGAGCCGACUAAACUCUGCUUGGUAUUCAAAUUUUUCAGCUGGUGGGGAACUUGAUGCAAAUUGUUGGCAAUGCUGCAGGAUCGGUGCCGACUACAACGCUCAAUUGCGUACCGGUUUGAGGCAGCUCACGUCAUAACAAAUGGUUCGGUGGUUCCCUGCGGAGUAGCUCUUGGUUGCAUCCACCUUGGAGGAAAGUCUGAGCAAAGUGCAUCCACCACCAACUACAAUACCCUCUUCAACAGCUGCCUUUGUAGCAUUAAAAGCGUCUUCAACUCUCAAUUUCUUUUCCUAGAGUUUUGUCUCAGUUUGUGCACCAACCUGAGCAAUUGAGCCAUCGGAGUUCUUUAAGGGCAAAGGGAUAUCCAUAGUAACCAGUUUUCCAGAUUUAUGAGAAGCGAUACAGUUACUUCCCAAAUAGAAUCAUAACUGAUGGACCUUUAGCAUGUCCCUUUAAAACCUCAUUUCAAUCACACAAUUUAAGGGAAAUAAAGAGGAUCGUUUUGCUUCCCAUGUUGGGUAUGUUCAAAGCUGCAUUUUCACUGACCGUGUUAUGAUUGAAUAACCGCAACGAACGUUGUUGUUCCAUGUAGCAGUGCAGUAGCAGUACAUGAGUUUUUCGCCUUCUUGGUCAGUUUAGAGUGAAUUACCAAUUGUCAAAGCUAGUUAACAUGGAAGGUUAUAACAAUUGGAUACUUUUGGUUACAGAGUUCACUCUUAAAUCUUUGCAGUCAUGGCAGUGGGCUAGCAACAGUGUAUACUACCU